UCCUCCCGGUGCGAAGAAGAGGAAACCGGGCCUUGUAUCCUGGCAACUUUGUCGCGUUGUACAGUAAUUUAGCUUCGAGUCACUCGUUAGGUCGGUCAUCGGAGCUGCUACCCAGUCUGCUCCAGAUGCAGCAAUGUGGUCGGUCGGUCGGUUUAUCCCACACUGAUAGUUGUUUAAUUCAAAAAGGUCAUGUACUCGUGUCGUAUUAGGGGCACAAAAAUUGCUUGCUGUGCUAAUUUUCCUGGCAAUGUGGCAAUUGUGGUAGGUUGUUACAUCCAUCUACCCAAGAAGAAAAUGAAAUGGGGGAACGGAGUCUUACUGUGAAUAUACUUUGCUUACUGACUUGCGAUGUUGUUGUUAGUGCUCGGUCCCUGGUUUGCACAAUUUUGAAUGGUCCCUAAUCGUCUCUGGAUGGUUUUUGUUGCUGCACAAGUUUUUCUGACGUGCUACCUGAACCUGCCCAGUAAGCUGCACAAGUUUUUCUGAAGUGCUACCUGAACCUGCCCAGUCAGCUGCAUCGCAACUGGGUUCACUCCGCCGACAGGCCUAUGCGAAGUACCCAACCCUUUUUUCUAGAGAACUAAAGUGACCUUUAUUAAUAGUGACGUUCAACGGGAGUUUUAUAGUGUCACCCAAUGGCGGCCGACGGUUAAGAGAGAAAAUCUGGCUAGGCCGUGUGUUUCAUCUUCAAUGUUCCUUCGUUCAUGGAGAACCAGGCAUUGAUCUCUCUGACUAUCGCCUGAUUUUACUUCACUACCAUCGCAAUGGGCACUCGGCGAGCUGUCCGAUCUAUGUUGCUUAGCGUACUAUUCCUCUUUGCAACAAGGUAUUGUUUUACUCUUUUGCAAGUAGAGUAUUGUUUUCAUGUCAAAAAAAAACAAGAGUAUUGUUUUAGAAAGUGACUACUGCAAAAGGAGCCUUGUUUCAGAAACAGAACGGUGACUACUGUAACAAGAGCUUUGUUUCAUAAACACGUCGAUGACUAUUGCAACAAGAGCUUUGUUUCAGAAUCAUUGGCGGCAUUGCAAAGCAUCUCCGCAUGUGAUCACUCUUUGCAAAGAGAACUCUGUUUCAGAAACAUCAUUGACUAUUGCAACAAAAGCUUUGUUUUAGAAACAUUGAUGACAUUACAAAGCCUCUAAACACGCAGCGCAGGGCUGGGAGCGUAUCGAGCAGGAGGGCUCCCUGACAUGGACACCGCCGAUGGAGAGGUCGUGCGCUGGCCGCGCGCCGCUGGAGCAACGACCGAGUCACGUGGAUCUCUGGCACCGUCGUUGACGUCAGGAGGUGGAAUUAGAUGCAGGGCGGGAGAGAUGUAAGCGGCGAGGCGGUCGGCUGCCCGGUGUGAGUGGCAGGCUUGCAAUGCCUUGGCCGAUCUGCAUCAGAAGAGAAGAAAUGUGAGAGAAAGAGAGAUGAGAGUCGUGGGAAGAAGACGAUGCAGCUGGGCGUUGUUUCAUAAAUCUAGGAAGGUGGAGACGUGUGUGGGCCCCACAUGGACACGUGUUGCACAACGAAGGCGGUGGAAGCGAAGUUUCUUUUCAGCCGGUCGACAACGAGUGUUUCCCUAAUUUGAUCCAAACAUCAGAAAGUUACCAAACAAUAGUUGAGAUCAUAGCUGCAAGAAACUACAAAAUAACUCUUAUAACUAACAAUUACAGUGAAAUUUCUGAAAAUCAUCUUUUUCAUCGUAUGAUUUGCUCUUCCUGGGCUCCUCGGCUGUAACUUUCCACGAGAUAACCACCCACGCCCAAGCUGGAGGCCCUAGCAUGCCGAAAAGCUAAAGGCCUAGCCAAUGAUUUGCUAAUUCGUCGAGUGCUCCUGUCUGUUACUCCCUCCGUUCCUAAAUACAAGUCUUUGUAGAGAUUUCACUAUGGACCAUAUACGGAUGUAUAUAGAUGCAUUUUAGAGUUAGAUUCACUCAUUUUGCUCCGUAUGUGGUCUAUAGUGGAAUCUCUUCAAAGACUUAUAUUUAGGAACGGAGGGAGUACAAAACAGAAGAUAAAGUGAUGAGAGGUUACGGUUCCACAGGUCAGUCGUCACGGAUUUCAUCGGUUCUGCUCACCUCCAGUUGUAGUAGAUGUGGUCUCAGCAGAUAACCCCGACUACACCAUUCAACCCGUUUCCUUGAUACCGCUCCAUCAGCGCGGGAUAGGUCUUGGCUUGCCGCGAGAUAUAUUCCAGUCUCGCCUUUUGCGCUUCGUGCGUGCUCGCCUCAGUGGGCCGACCCAUUAGAGUGUUUUGGGAAGGUUCUAUACAUCGAUAAAGAGCGAAUUUACAACCUUUGUAGAGAUUAUUUUCUUCUUCUCUUUGUCGUUUUUAGUCUUUGUUGGUUGCACUGCUUUUAUUUUAUUCUUUAUGGUUCUUUUUUUUUCAUUUUCAACUACUUUGUCGUCUACUUUCAAAUACACAUUAAACAUUUUUCGUAUACAUGUCGAACAUUUUCCAGAAACAAGUUGAACACUUUUCUGAAUUACAUGUUGAACAUUUAUGAAACACACAUUGAAAAUUUUCUGAUAUAUGGCAAACAUUUUUCAUAAAUGCCAUGAACAUUUUUCUAAAAAACAUGCAAAACAUUCAUUAUGUGUUAGAGCAUUUUGUCUAAAUGGCAUUAACAUCUUUGAAUGGCAAGAAUCAUUUUUAGAAAUUUUCCAAUUUUUUAUGUUGUACAUAUUUUUUUAAAAAUCAUAAUCAUAUUUUCUAAACGCCUGAACAUUUUUGUAAGUUUCAUGAACAUUUUUUAGAAUAGUGCAAAACAUUUUAUUAAAAUUAUACAACUUUUAUUCACACUAUAUAAACAGUUUAAAUAAAGACAAUGAACAUAGUCUUGAAACGCAUGAACAUUUUUUAAAGUCAUGUAGAAUUAUUUUGAACGUGAUGCACAUUUUUAAAAAAUUGUACAAACAAAUUCUUACACAAAACAAACAUUUUUUAAAUGCAUGACAAAGUCAUUUAAUAAUUUAAGUAAAUAUUUAUUCUAUAUAUGCAUUUCAAAAUAUAAAUAUAAGUAAGAAAAUCAUAAAGAAAAACCUUAAAUAUGACAGGAGCCAGCAGAGCAAUAGCUCGAGAUGAUCGAGGUAAUUUUGCAGCAGAGUCUUGUGUGCGACCCCAUGUUUUUACUAUAGAUUCAGCGGAAGUUAUGGCUAUCCAAAGUGGUUUGAUCCUAGCAAAAACUUUGGGUGCACUAAACUCAUCAUCUAGUCUGACAGUAUGGUGGCGUUGGAGGCCAUCUCAAAUGCUUAUAUGAGAACUAAUGUUUCAAUCAUUGUGAGUAUUCUCUCAUGGCCAUGGAAUUUGCUAGCACUGGUUUUGUCCACUGCAACAAGGAAGCAAAUAUGGUAGCAGAUUGCUUGGCAAAAACACUAUUUCAGCAUUAGUAAGUCUGCAUCUUUGAAAUCCAAUGUCCCUGUCUUUAUUCUUGAUCACCAUGUAAAAGACCUUGCUAUUGUUUGAUGAAUAAAGUUGUUGGUCAAAAAGAAAAAAAGAAAAAAGAGAGAAAGCUUACACCUAACGUUGAAAAGAAAGGAAAAACGCUUGAAGAAACGAAUGUGCAAUUGAUUUUCUUUUAGGGGAACGAACUUGCAAUUGAUGACGCACGUCUGGAGGAUUUGGGCUGGGCCCUGUGCUAACAGUAACCUGGGCAUCUCCGGGCCGGGCCGGGUCUCAGGCUGGGUUUUCAAAAGAACGACCUCAAAAUACCAAGCCUGGGCCCGGCCCGGCCCGGCCUGCAGCCCGACAAAAAGGCUAUUUUGUCUAUCAAAAAGAAUAAAAUACCUAAUUUCGCGACGCGGAUUUUUGGGACAUGCGGCCACGCGCAACCCAUAUCCAGGACGUCCGCCUGUGCGUCGCGAUGACUACUUUUAAUAGGCCAUCUAGGAAUACUGGACAGCUUAAUUAGCAGCUUCCCAAAUACCUCACUUUAUACGACCGUGGUGUGGGCCAGGACUGCAUUGAAUGUCGUAUGAAUACAUGGGCCAGGCGACGCCCUACCGAUCGAAUAAUUGCUUUGGGCGUUGGGUGGACAUAAUUGAGCUGUUGCCCAAGUUCAGUUCUCGCAGUGCGCAUCUCGUCUUUCCGUCGACCAUGGACGAACAAAGCAAGGUGUGGAGAUGGGUUCUGCAUAGACGGAGAGCGGCAUCGGUUGCACAACACACCCACUGCAUGCUUCUCUCGCGUUUAGCAAGUAGGAAAAAUCUAGCACUGUCGUCGUCGUCUUCUAGCUGCGGCACGCCCGUAAGCAUCUCUCCAAAUUUCUUUGUUGUGAGAGACACACAGCUAGGAGGCCGUUGCGUUGAUGGGUCAUCAAUGGAUUGUUGGGUGCAUUUACGUUUUGCAGGGGCGGCUGAGGGUAUUCACUCCUCUGUUGUGUCUUUAAGUAUGUGCAUCGCAUGUGGGGAGGACAUACCUAGUGAUACGGGAUCUCAGGUGCUACAAUGCUUGAAUGAAUCCUGGACCGCUAGAUCAUAUUCAAAGGGACAUGAUGAAUGCAAGGGUGAUGAGCAGCUCCUUCACCGCAGAAUAUACCAGAAGCACCUUGGAUUCUAUACUUAAUUAAGCCCAAGGGAAUGGGAAGAUGAGGAUUUCUGGAUUUCCUCAAUUUUGCCCAUUGUUUAUUUAGCAAGAGCAUGCGUGAAAUGAUGCAUGUAACCUUGUUAUCACAAUAAAAAAAAGUACGGGACGCUUCUACUGGUAAAAACCAUAUACACAUUCUAAAAUUGUAGGUGUUAACUUAGAAAAAAAAGUUGUGCAUUUUAAUUAACCACAGCAUUCACUCAAUUAGAUUCAGUUCCUCUUCAAGAUAGCUGGAAAUGCUUGCUUGUACAUUCUCUACAAAAAACUUAGCUUCCGUGAAAGCAAAUAUAGCAUGUACUAGGUCAGUUGUCCAACUGAUUUCAGAUUGUACAAGCUAGAACGGCACAUGGAAUAUGUGAAGACCAACAGUGGAAAAUGUUCGUUUAUAAUAGUACUCUGUGUGGAUUAUCAUAAUUGACAUUAUAUGCAAAUUUAUGGACUAGACAUACCAGACUACUAUUAGUGUUUCACGGACAAAGUAACCAAAAAAUUAAUAAAUUUAUUUUGUUGAACUUUAAGCAGUAUAAAAGCAAAAUAUGAAGAUGGCAUAAUUUCGUAUGGAGAUUGCACCAUAGCAAGACAUGAGUGAAAACCAGAUUUAAGUUCGUGUGUCUGGGCAAUGAAACUAAACCUUUUUUUGUGCCCGUAAGUGAAACCGAGGCUCGUAAACUAGUAGUACUAGUAGGAAAAGGGCCUGAUGCUUAAUUAAUAACAUGAAUCGGAGUGUUUUUGUAUAUACAGUGGAGAGGCUGCUCAUCACGUGUGCCUUCAUCCUGUCCCUUCCAACAUAAUCGAAAGGCCCAUGAUCCAUCGGAGCAUUGUAUCACUUGAGUUGCGGUAUCACCAGAUAUGUUGCCCGCAUGUGGGCUCCCAGAUCGCUGAAUUAUUGCCGUUGGGCUGCUGGGUGUGGGAUUAAUGCACGCGCUGCCUCGCAGGCCAUGCACUGCAUGUGUCAGGUGCAAAUACACACGCUAUACCGAAUGCUAUACGACGAGGCGAAUUCCUUAUACGGCCGGAGGGUAUUAAAGCUGCACGCAUCACGCGGCAGCAUGCGGUGUGGAUUUUGGACGCGCGUGGUGGCAUGUCCACUCGCGAUUUAUCGCUAAUUUCGUGGCUAUAUAAUACUAUAUUAUACAUAAUUUUUUAAAAUAUAUAUUAAAAGAUAGGUUUUACUAGGCUUUUCUCGGUCUUUGGGCCGGGCUUGGGUGAGAAAAGUGAGGCCCGAGCCCGGCCUAGACGUUAGGGUUUCGGCCGGGCUGCCCAUGCCCAGGUUUAGCUAACACCCUGCGGGCGACAAGUCUUUGUGUGCGAGACAGAGGUGCUCCAAGAAAUCACUAAUUAAGGCGCACUCUUCGUAAAGGUCACUCCCACCUUCUCGGGUUGCGACAAGUAGCGCACUGCAUGAUAGUUUUUCUUUUCAUAGAUUCUUUAUUCAAAAUGUUUUAUCUAUUAAACCGUGCGUCUAAAUCUCGAACUGCUUUAAUCAUUGGUUUCCUCACGUCGAGAUCUUCAAAGCUAGAUCCAUGUUGAUAGGUUUUGACGAACGUUUUUUGGGUGUGUUUAGGGCAUAUCUAGAUGUGCUCUAGUUGUUACACAUCUAAGUGAGUGACUCAAGCAUAAAGAGGAAAAGAAAAAAACAAAAUAUCCACACGAAUCUUAACGUAAGAUCAAUGACAUAGAACUUAGAUGUGCAAUAUUUAUGGCACAUCUAGAUGUGCUUUAGCAAAACCAAUUUUUUUCACCAAAAAACAGAAGAAAAAAAACAAACCGGGAGCACUUUUUCCCUUCCCGAAAGAGGCAGGACUGUGCCUCUCGCGGAAGCAAAUCCAUGCCUCCACAAGAAGUAAACCCGUGCGUCCAAAUGUCGAACCGCUUUAACCGUUGGUUUCCUCGCGUCGUGAUCUUAAAACUAGAUCCGUGUUGAUAGGUUUUGACGAAAAAAAUUCACCAAAAAAUAGACGAAAAAAUCGAACCGGGAGCAGUUUUUUUCCUUUCCAAAAGAGGCAGGACUGUGCCUCUCGCAGAAGCAAAUCCGUGUCUCCAUAAGAAGUAAAACCGUGCGUCUCGCAGAAGAAAAAAAAAGGGAAAACACAUUUUCUCUCUCUAUUUUUGAGAGGCACUACCGCGCCUCUCGGGAAGGAAAAAAAAGAAAACGCGUUAUUUUUUUGGUAUCCGAGAGGGGCUGUGCCUCUCACGGAAGCAAAUCCGUGCCUCUCGCGGAAGGAAGAAAAAGGGUUUUUUCGUUUUCAAGGCAAAAUUGGGUUUUUUUCGCGUAAUUUUUUUAAUUUUUUAAUUCAAAAGCUAAGAAAGACUCGUGAAAAACUAAUAAGCCAAAAUAACAUGGAAAAAAACUAUCUAAAAGCCAAAACCACGUAUGAAAAAAUAAAAAUAAAAAACAAAAAUCAGUGGAGGCGCCCAGAGCGCGGCAUAUGGCGGCGGCGCUCUUAGCCGACUCCAGGUGACCCUUGCGAGGAAUCCCAAAAAAAAAGGUGAUCCUUGCGGGGGACCCGAAGGAGUACUCCGUCUUUAGUUGCUCCUGGCUCUCCUGCGGCAGCUCCUAUUGGGUGCCUUCUGCACGAGUUAACUAACCUAACGCUAACGCGCGCCCCUUUGUCAGCCGGCCAAAUAACGAGAGGAGCGUCGUUCGUUCGGUCGAUGGAAAAAAUCGAUCUAGUUCGAUCGCUCGGAGGUGGUCCACAAUCGACUGCUGACGAAGGACCGCUGACCAUUGACUUUUCACACAAAAGUUCACAAAGUAAAAUAGGGAUUCAAAAAAUCAUAAAAAAACCAAAAGGUUCACAAAUCAAAGAAGUUCAUUGAUUUAAAAAAAGUUCAUCUAUUUCUAAAAAACAACAUCAGUUUUUAAUCAAUUACAAUUUGAAUUUUUUCAAAAAAAUUAUCAAUUUGAAAAAAGUUCAACGAAUUUAAAAAAAUUUAGUCAAAUUUGCACAAAGUUAAUCGACUUUGAAAAAAGUUGAUCAAAUUUGCAAAAAGUUCAUCAAACUUGAGAAAACAGUCUAUUCGAAAAAAAGUUCAUUUGAUUUGAAAAAAGUUCAUCGAUUUGGGAAAAAAGUUCACAAAUUUGAAUAAAAGUUCAUGGAUUUUGGUGAAAAGGUUCACGAUUUUGAAGCAAACGUUUAUGAAUCGAUGCAUUUAAUGAAAAAAAGGCCAGAAAAAAUAAAAAUAAAAAUCAAAUAUAAUCGGUUGGGAAAAUCCCAUGAACUGAGCAAGGAAAUAAAAGAGAAAAAGCAACAGUUUCACAACGGAUUGGAUACCUGAAUGGUUAGUGUGCUUGCAUUCGAACAUGGAGGUCUGUAGGUUCGAAGCCGGACAACUCCACCUUUUUUUUUAGUUAUUUACAGAAUUAAAAUCAUAUCUGGAGCGGUGCAGUUAAGAGCAUCUUCAGUGCCAGUUAACAAAAUGCACGUUAACGGGCGCCUUCAGCGCCGAUUAGAAAAUGCGCUUUCCUGCCGCGGUGACUAUUUAUCGCAUUAGGGUGUGACCUAACAAGAAACGAGCCGAUAUUCCAUAGGUUUUCUAUAUACUUUUGGAUUUGUUUUUUCACAAGUUUUUGUAAAUUUCUUUUCUCAGUUUUCACAGAUUUGUUUUAUCUUUAGAUUUAUCUUUGGUUUUCUUUAUUCUCCAUAUUCUUUUUUCUAUUUUGUUUCUUUUUUGUUUUAUCUUCUCAGUUUUUUCAAACUCUUUUCAUUUUAUUGCAUUUUGUUUCUUUGUUUUUUUGUUCAUUUUCUUUCUAUUUUUGGUUUAUUUGUUCUAUUGGUUAUUAUUCUACUUUUUUGUAUAUGUCAACAACAUUUGUCUAAUACACGUCUAAAUUUUUUCCAAUUCAAAUUAUACAUUUUCGUAAUACAAAGUCAACAUUGUUUUCUAUACACAAUUUUAACAUAUUACAAAUAGAAGAUUGACAUUUUUUGAGUACAUGGUCAACAUUUUUUCGAUUUCUUUUUAAAAUUUCUUAAAUUCUUGAUUAACAGUUUUCAAAUAAAAAUAGUAAUAUAUUUUGAAUACGUGGUCAACAUUUUUUCAUACACAUUUACUUUUUCGAAAUGAUUGAUUAAUACUUUCCAAACAAUUGUUCAACGUUUUUUUAAUUCUUUAUUAAUAUUUUAUAUACAUGAUCAUAUUUUUCAUCAUGUUUUAAUACAUGGUCAACAUUUUUUCCAUACACAUUUGACAUUUUUCAAAUGCUUGAUUAGCAUUUUUCAAAUACUUCUUCAACCUUUUUGUAUACACAUUUAACAUUUUUCAAUGCUUGCAUAACAUUUUUUCUAUACACAUUCAACAUUUUCAAUGCUUGAUUAACAUUUAUAUAUACAUUGAUAAAAAAAUUCCAUCAUUUCUCUAAUACAUGGUCAGCAUUUUUUCUGCACUCAUUUAACAUUUCCAAACGCUUGACUAACAUUUUUUAAAUAUUUGUUCAAUAUUUUUUUCAAAAUGCUUGAUUAACAUUUUUUAUAUACAUGAUGAAAACAAUUCAUCAUUUUGAAAUACAUGUUCAAUAUUUUUUCUAUAGACAUUUUGUAUUUUUUCCAAAUGCUUGAUUAAGAUUUUUCAAACACUUGUUCAAUAUUUUUUCAGAUGCUUGUUUAAUAUUUUCUCUAUAGACAUUUAACAUUUUUCAAAUGCUUGUUCAACAUUUCUCGGAUCUUUUUAUGUAGAUUGAUUUUGUAAUAUAUUUAUUUUGAGAGAAAGCAAAAAAAUGAAAAAAAUCAGAAAAACUAGACAUAUCAGCACGCCUGGGCCGGCCCAACUCGUGCGAACCUUUACCCAGACUUCCACUUGUCUCACGUGCUGGGAGACAUAUAGGGCGCGUUUGGUUUCAAUUCUCAGCCGGGCCUGGCUGAGAGGAUGAAAACGAGCCAGGCUGAGCAGGACCUGGUUUCGAGAAAACAAGGCAAAAAACGAUGUUGUCUAGUUGUGUGGUUGCCUGCAUACAAUGUCUUGUCACCGUAAAGCAAUUUUUCACCCGGUGUUUGGUUGCCUGGCUCGCAUGGUGAUUAGGAGUCAACGACUAUACUUAAAUCAGAGCACCUCGGCGAGCAUGGCGGCCUCCUCGGUGGGGGACACGGCUGCCUCCCCGCACGCGCUGGAGUACCUCCAACCUAGCAGUUAAGGGGGGCGACGACGAAGUGCAUGGAGCUGGACCACCCGAUUUGGCGCCGCAUGGUGUCCGGCUAGGAGCACAUCGCCGCGAGCCUUGCCGUCCACUGUUGAGGCAGGGGUGCGUGCCUUGCUGCGGGGCCACCUCGCCCACGCCCACGCCCGCCUCACCGCCUCGCCCCGCCGCCUUGGCGCGCUAGGAGUCACCCUGAGCUGCCUCGCCUCGCCGGCCGUGCGCUGCAUUGGGUGCGCGCGGGCACGAGAACCUGGUGCCGCUUCGGGCCUUUUACGAGGGACGCCGGGGGGAGAAGCCGCGGCAGCGGCUGUCAAAAGCGGAUCACCACUAACGUGGCCACGGUGGCGCAAGAUCGCGCUGGGCGCGGCACGCGCGCUGGCGUACCUGUACGAGGGGCGGCCAAAUACGCGGUGGUGGGAAGGCUGCUGGUGCCGUCGGCGGCGAAGGCAGACGGGGGCGACGACCUGUCGUUGCUGGUGAAGGCGGCUAUGCUCGAGGAGACGGCUGUGGAGGUGUUCGAACCGGAGAUGGCGAAGGGUGUGUGGAACUCGGCGGAGGAGGGCCCCGUGCAGGCGCUGAAGCUGGCGAUGGGCUGCCGCGCGCCGGUGGCUGCGGUGAGGCCGAGCUUGGCGGAGGGGGCGCGGCAGCUCGAGGAGAUCCGGCCCAAGGUUAGUCGGCCGAGGAGCAGCACCAAGGUGAUGUAGCGCGGCGGCGACGGGUGCUUCAGCCAGCUCGCACGCAAUGAGCGUUGCGGCUGCAACAGCGAGGCGGGCCCAGCGGUCGGAUCUGGCGUGCGCAGGCGAGUUCGACGGCCGGCGAGGUGGAGGAGGAGUGGUUCAUGGGCUGGAAGGUGAGGUAGAUUGGGCUGUGUGGCCAUUAGAGGAAGGAGGAAGAGGACGAGGGGCAGACGUGAUUAAGUGUAAUCACGUUCCCAGCGAGCCACCAACCUGUGCUACAAAGCAUCGCUCAAACCUGCCUCGCUGGAAACUGCCGAUUUGGACGUCUCCAUGAAGCCGGGCCUAGAGGUGCUUUAAGAAUUGUGCCGUGCAGGUCCAACAGUAUACACAGUUAACCAAACAGCCCAUGACCGAAAGAUGCUGUAACCAUAAGGCCUGCUUGGGCUAAAUGCGGGCAACCAAACGUGCCAUAAACACCCCGCUCCGGCCUGAUAUUAAGCCACAAAUGUUUGCUAGAACACAAUUGGGCUUGACUUUGCCGUCGCCUAUUUUUCUGAGUGGCAGGUCGGGAGCCCCUGAUAUUAAAUAUUUUUGUUAUUUAUUUCUUGUUUUUCAUCAGUUUUCUUUGGUUCUCAUUGUUCUCUUUAAUUUUUCUUCAAUGUUUUUUCCUUUUUAAUACGUGUUUAGUUUUUCAACACACGUUGUAAUUGUUUUCCAAUAUAUUUUAAAUAUUUUUUGUACACAUUAAUACUUUUCAAUUACAUGAUUUAAUUUUUUAAUUACAUGUUUUCAAAAAAAUCGAAUAUGUGUUAAAAGCUUUUCAAUUACAUCUUGAAAUAUUUUUAAAACUAUGCGAAUAUUUUCUAUAUCUGUAUAAACAUUUUAAAAUAUAUAUGUACAUAUUUUUGGAACACAUGAUUUUUGGGAUAUGUGACGUAGAUAUUUUAAUGGGAUGAAACUUUUUUAAAUUAAAUAGUUUUUAUUUACAUUGCAUAUUGUAUAAAAUGUAAUUUAUAUUUCUUUGAAAUAUUUGAUUUUUUUAUCACAAAACUUUUCUGAAUGCUAUCAUUUUCUUGAAACUACACUACAAUUAUUUUACACUGUGUUAACAUUUUGAAAGAUAUUUUCCAAUUAUUAUCUAAGUUUAUGUUGUUUUGUAUAUAUACAUUUAGAAAAUUUCAAAUAAUGGAACAAUAGAAAGAAAAGAUGAACGGAUGAAAAAGAUAAUAAGAAAAAUGAAUUUUAACUCGCAGGAAGGCACUUGGACCGGCCCAGUAAUAGCAGCGAGAGGGCAAUGCUCGUGGCGAGAGCUACUUCAGGGUCGCUUUAAGCGACAUAUAGCCGGGUCGGCCCCUAAUCGGCCACUCCAACUGAUUCUCAAAAUAACAAAAGAAAGUUGUUGGAAAGGUCAGGCACAUUAAACUUGUGGGCGACAUAACCACGCAACACGGUUUAUUUUUCGUGGAAGGAAAACUUACGGUGUGUAUCCUUAGGACGAAAAGAAUUUUUUUUUUAGUUUCUUGUCGAUGUUAAUUGUUUCUCAUUCAGUGUUGGCUGCUCCAUCGUUCUAUUUUAUUUUUCUUAAUAUGAAUCAUUGGGGCAUGUACAUUGAUUGAUACGAUAAUCUUAAUAGAAACUUGCCACGUAAUUUUGGGAUAUCAAUAAAAGCAUGAUGUACAAUGGAUAAUCUCUUAGUUUUAUCUCCAGUAACGAUAUAUGCCUAAAUAUGGGUUGACAAAUAUUACUGCUAAGUGAUCAUCUCUUAGUUAAGAAAAGACAAGUACUUUUUGUUUCUCUUUCCUCCACCUAAACAAUUAGGGCCCUCAUAAUUAGUGAACUUUCGCUGGGGAUGACUAUUGCGAAUGAUUUUGAUGGCAAGUUAUGUUGAUCGAGAAUGACAUACUCUCUCCGUUCCUAAAUAUUUUAACAAGUGACUACAUACGAAGCAAAAUGAGUGAAUCUACACUUUAAAAUAUGUGUAUAUACAUCCGUAUGUGGUAGUUCAUUUGAAAUCUCUAAAAAGACAAAUAUUUAGGAACGGAGGGAGUAUUAGUUAGCGAGAAUGGCAACUCAACUUCGUUUUUAUUUUUUGCAAGAAAAUUGCCGUGCUUGCAAACUAAAAUUACCGUCCUGACGACAAUUUAAAUUGUCAUACAAACAUUCACAAUCGCCAUCUCUCUCAACGAACGUCAGCUGAAUAACAUCAUCCAACAUUUAUCUUACGUGACACUUAUAAGAUAACAACAAUUGUACAUUCCAUAACUGCAAUGAUAUCAAGCGUUUCGUCUAACAGAAUUGGUGUGCACACCGCAUCAGUGAGAUGCAGAGACGCAUAGAUAUGCGGAAUACAGAGGCGUACUAAGUGAUUAGACAGUCUGUGGUGAGCCUGGAGGCGCAGGCGCCAACAGGCAACACAGGAAGGUUCUCGGCUGCAAUCAUGGAAAUUUGCCACGCAUUGCACCAGCCACCCCACAGGACGAGGUUCCAUUCCAUCUUCCAAACCGGACACCGGCACCAGUGCUGUCUCCUGAAAAGAAUAAACUAAUGCAAAACCAAACCACACCCCACCCAUCCUCGGACGGCAUGGCGCUGCAUCCUGCAUGGUGGCUGGGUCGCCGGCGGCGUCACGAAACGGACGUUCUCGAGGACCCGGGACCAGCCCGUCGGGCCACGGGCUCACGCUGGGAUCACGGGACCCUCGAGCGGAGAAGAUCGAACGUGGGCAGCAAAAGGACGACGAGACCCCACCCGUGUCCGUCUGGCGCCACGAGCAAGCAAUCACGCAACCUUGUCUUGCAAAAGCUCGCACCUACCGCCCUAGGGUUUCCACAGCUCGUACUGACCUAUGCUCCUAGCUAGUUGAUGGCGUUCGCGGAUAGGGUCCGGCCACCCCUUAUUUUUCGUCCAAGGAAACAAUAAACUUCAACUCUCAUAUUUUUUUCAUACUACACACCAUGCAACGUAAAAUAAGCUACGUACUACAUACUACUGGCAGUGUCGGACGGACCGGGCUACUGGUUGUUGGCCACGGCUCGCAUCUUCAGUUCCUCAUUGAACUUCAUGUCCACGAAGACUUCCUCCAGCUCUGUAUCUGCCUCGUGGAGAUAGCGGCAGUUUGCCUUGACCUCGAGAUCCGACUAAAUGGACUCGAGGAUACUCCACCGCUUCCUCCGCUUGGGCUACCUCGAACUCGGCCAGCGUGUCGUUCAUGGUGAAUCCGGCCGUAGGAAGUACCGGAUCCGCCUCGCCGCCCACCUCCUCCUCAUCCCGCGUCCUUCAUCUCCACGUCUGGCGACGCCUGCUCCGCCCCGUACUGCUCCGAAGAGUCCGAAGGCAAGCCGAUGGCGAAGCGAGUGACGCCCCGUGUGUCGAUCUCCGCUAGGAUCUUCACCCAGCGCUGCGCAGUGAGACUCUUGUACGCGUCGAUCCCCUGGCGGACCAUGGCUGCCCGUGGAGGCAUGCUCGGAGCGAAUUGGAGUGGACGACGAACUUGGAGCUUGGGAGUAGCGGCGCGGGCGGAGGGGGGUAGAAGGUGGAAAUGAAAGUGGCUAGGGUUGAACUCGCUGUCCGACUUAAAUAGCCGGAUUUGGCCCCUCGGGCGGCAUGCCGGAGCAACGACAUGAGUGUGUCCUCACCGGACCGACGGGUUUUGACGUGUGUCUUGCCCGCCAGUCAGAUGUGACGGACGCGUCCGGACCUCCUCAUAUCCGCCUCAGAUAUGGACUCGAUAUAAAGGGUGUCGAUCAGCCCUGACGUAUAGGGCUGGUCUCAGGAAUCUAACUGGGUCAUGAUUUUGUGACUGGUCACUGACAUGACCGUCACGUAUAGUGUCACAUCCGUCUGGAAGCACCCGUGGAAGAUCGAGAGGCAUAGAAUUGUAUUAUCAGGAAACCACAAUUGCAACACACACAGUUGUGACACGUAGGCAUAGAAUAAGAAGAUAUAAUGAUUAGGCAUUUAAUUUUCUGUGAAAUGGUUUCUGGUGGCAGGACAAUAAUAACAAUGCCAUUGGCGAAUAUCUAUCACAGGAUGACAUCCUUAGCAAUAAUAAUACAUUACACAAAAAGAUUUUGCAAGACUUUGGUCCUAUUAACUCAAGAAGCACAUUCCAACUGCAAUCAUUUCCUAGAGAUAUUAAAUAAUAUACCAAGUCUACCAUUUGGCUAGGGCUGAAAUAUCGACCGAUGAAGAGAAGUAGGAAAGAGAAAUAUGAAGAUUGUUAAGUCAUUAUAUGGUUUUGCUGGGAUGUUGUGAAUCACGGAUGGAUGUGUUCGCAAAAAAUAAUACAUUUGCACAUGGAAUACCAACUUAAUUUUUAUGAUGUUUCCUCGAGACAUGUGUUUCUCUCUUUAUCUUUUUCUAUGGUUUAGAUGAAAUUUUAGUGUCAUAGCGAUGACAAAAUAAAUUCAAUUAAUUUUUGACACAAGGGAAAAUACUUAUGGUAAACAUAAUAUCAAAUAUAACUAUUAGACGCGAAAGAAUAAUACAAAAUAUUUACCGAAAAAGAAACGACCAUUUCAUGUCAAUAUGUGAUGAAUCAUUUCAUUUUUCUCAAAACUACACUUAGAUGCAAAAUAAAGCUCUAACAUUUUCGAAUUAUAGAAUAUUUUAGAAAAUUUCCACAACAUUUGUAGAUUUGAUAGGUUUAUAAUGGAAAGCAAAAGUUGUAGCCGCGCAAAUGCGCGGGCAACACCGCUAGUUUCCAUAAAAGUACCUCCCGCGGAGGAAUCCAAAAUAUUUCUAGAAACAAAAUUCAACCCCGCAUAAUUUUUUUGUAUAAUCAUCCAUAGAUUUAAACCAUAAGUAGGACAAUUUCUUAGCAUCAAUUUCAUUCUUUCCCAAGAUUGUGCAACAUGUUCAUGCUCAAGUUGCUUGAAAUUCAUGAUUUGAUUUCUAAGGGAAAUAAUUUUCGCGAGCGGAAAAUACUUAGUAAUAAAAGCAUCUUUGCACUUAUCCCAAGAAUCGAUACCAUUACUAGGCAAAGAAGAAAACCAAAAUUUUGCACGAUCCCUCAAAGAGAAAGGAAAUAAUUUCAACUUCACAAUAUCAUUGUCCACAUCUUUUUUCUUUUGCAUAUAACACAAAUCUAUGGAAGUGUUUAGAUGGGACACGAUAUCCUCAUUAGGACUACCGGAAAAUUGCUCUUUCAUGACAAGAUUCAAUGAAGCGGCAUUAAUAUCAUAAGACUCCGCACUAGUAGCGGGAGGAGCAAUCGAAGUACUAAUAAAAAUCAUUAUUAUUAGUAUUGGAAAAAUCACACAAUUUGGUAUUUUCUUGAGACAUCGUGACUACGCAAGCAAGAUCACACGCAAACAAAAGAUCCAACGAGAAAAAGGGCAAACGAAAAGAGGGUAAAUAAAAAGGCAGAUAUUUUUAUGCUUUUCGCAAAAAAUGUUUUAGAAGUGGGGGAGAUGAAAACGAGAGGCAAAUGGAAAAUAAUGUAAAUUGCAAAGAGAUGAGAUUUAUGAUUGGGUACCUGAUAGAUGUUGAUGAUGUCUCUCCGACAAUGGCGCCAGAAAUUCUUCCUGAUUGCUUGUAUCUGCGUUGGUAUUUCCCUGAAGAGGAGAGGAUGAUGCAGCACAGCAACGCUAAGUAUUUCCCUCAGUUAUGAAACCAAGGUUAUCAAUCCAGUAAGGAAACCAAGCAACACUAUGUAAACAGUACCUGCACACAAAUAGCAAAUGCUUCCAACCCAACGCGUAAGAGGGGUUGUCAAUCCCUCCUCGGUAUUGAGAUAGAUUAAAUUGUAUGAGAUUGGAUAAAUAGAUCUAGCAAAAACACAAAAUAAAAUAAAGAAAGAAAAAAAUGCAGCAAGGUAUUUUUGUUUUUUUGGAAUAAUAGGUCUGAAAAUAAUAUGAUAGGAAAUAGACCUGGGGGCCGUGGAUUUUUCACUAGUGGCUUCUUUCGAGAAAAUAACAUACGAUGGGUAAACAAAUUAGUGUUGGGCAAUUCAUAGAAUAACAAAUAAUUAUGACAAUAUCCAAGGCAAUGAUCAUGUAUAUAGGGAUCACGUCCAAGAUUAGUAGACCGAAACGAUUCUGCAUCUGCUACUAUUACUCCACACAUCGACCGCUAUCCAGCAUGCAUCUAGUGUAUUAAGUUCACGGAGAAACAGAGUAAUGCAAUAAGAACAAUGACAUGAUGGAGGCAAGAUCUAUUCAUGUAGGAAUAUACCCCAUCUUUUGAUCCUUAUAGGCAACGAUACAUGCGUGUCACUUCUCCUUCUGUCACUGAGAUUGAGCACCGCAAGAUCGAACCCAUCACAAAGCACCUCUUCCCAUUGCAAGAAAAAUCAAUCCAGUUGGCCAAACCAAACCAAAGUUUCAGAGAAGAAAUACGAUGCUAUCAUAAUCAUGCAUAUAAGAGAUCAAAGAAGACUUAAUAUUCAUAGAUAGAACUGAUCAUAAACUCGCAAUUCAUCGGAUCCCACCAAACACACCACAAAAAGUCAUUACAUGAAAUAGAUCUCUAAGAGCAUCGAGGAGAACAUUGUAUUGAGAAUCAAAAAGAGAGAAGAAGCCAUCUAGCUACUGCCUACGGACCUCUAGGUCUGUGGUAAACUACUGACACAUCAUCGGAGGAGCACCAAUGAGGAUGAUGAACCCCUUCGUGAUCGUGUUCCCCUCCGGCAAGGUGCCAGAAUAGGGCUCUAGAUUGGAUCUCGUGGUUCUGGAACUUGCGGCGGCUGGAAUUGUGUUUCGUCGACUCCCCUAGGGUUUCUGGAAUAUUUGGGUAUUUAUAGAGCUGAGAGGCGGUGGAAAGGACCUCUGUGGGCCCCACUACCCAUCAGGGCGCGCCAGGGGCCUCUGGCGCCCAGGUGGGUAGUGGGCCCCACGGGCCUUCCCUCUUGCACUUCCUUGGCUCUCAAGUUGUCUUCUGGGCAGAAAAAAAUCUCCAAAAAGUUUCGCUGCAUUUGGACUUCAUUUGAUAUGGAUAUUCCAUGAAGUAAAAAACAAGCAAAAAAAACAGCAACUCGCACUGGCACUAUGCCAAUAGGUUAGUCCCAGAAAAAUGAUAUAAAGUUGGUAUAAAAUGAAUAUAAACAUCCAAAAAUGAUAAUAUAGCAGCACAGAACAAUAAAAAAUUAUAGAUACGUCGGAGACAUAUCAGAGAACAGCUCAUGUAAAUUAUUAAUAUGUAUGACCUCUUUGACAGAGAGUGUAUUAUCAUAAUAGCAGGAAUGUAACGUGGGAAAUCUUUCUUGUAGAGGAGUGCGUUCAUUACCAAUUUGCCAAUGAUCAGACCAGAAAAGGGCAGUGUCACCCUAUUCACUUUGACCAUUGUAAGAGACCUAAAUUUGUCCAUGAGCUUGCUUACAUCUCUCCACCAAAAAGAGCCACACAAAGUGGUAUCAUGGGGCACCGUACCAAAAUAAUAGGAAUCCCAGAUCAAUUGCACCCAUGGUACAUCAGAUUUAUUAUAAAACUUGUUGAGAUGUUUCAUGAGGAGAGCCUCAUUCUGCAAUCCAAGGUUGAGGAUACCCAGACCACCUUUAAACUUGGGCCUACACACCAGAGGCCAAGCAGCCAAGGAAUGACCUCUCUCCUCCCCAAAUUUUCUCUAGAGAUACUGCCUUUGAAUAUUUCCAACUGCCUGAGAAUGUCGGGAGGGAUGGACAAGCUGCAAAGGAUGUAAAUAGGUAGGGAGGAUAUGACUGAAUUGACUAACUAAAGCCUACUUCCUUGUGGUAAAAACCAAUAGCUAGUUGUGAGUCUCCUUUCCAUACAGUCCACCAGAGGCAUAAAAUCAAUUAUUUUAGGUCUGGUGGUUCCCAUAGGUAAACCCAAAUAAGUGAAAGGCAUUUUCCAAGCUGACAGCCAAACUGAGCUGCAAGAGAAGAAGCUUCCAGAUCAUUUACAUUGAUUGGGAACAUUGAGGACUUAUGAUAGUUAAUCUGCAUGCCAAUUGCUUUGGAGAAAGAACCCAUAACUAUUUUAAGAGCAGCCAACUAUGAUCUAUGAGCAUGUAGAAACAAUAAAGUGUCAUCUGCAUAUUGAAUCACAGGAUAAUCAGGAUCAUGGAUAGGUAAAGGCAGACUGUUUUCUCCCAGAUGAAGCAACUUAUUAAUCGUUGUUUUCAAAAGAGCAGGAGCCAAGACAAAGAGUAAGGGGACAGAGGGUCCCCCUGUUUCACACCACACUUACAUUUGAAGUGUUUUCCAGGCACAUCAUUCAAAAGAACUGAAGAUGUUCCAGAAGACAUUCAUGCCUUAUUAUUAAAUACGCAAUGUUUUAUAGUGUUUUUGGUUUUAGUAAAAAAAUAAAUAUUUUCACUUACAAAAAAAAUACAUAUGCAAGUUUCAACAAACAAGGGACCAUGAGGACCCAAUAAGAGCACCAGGGGAGGCUCAGUGGUUGGAACCAUCUGUCCAGGCGCCAAAAGCACCUGAGACACCUAGGCCCACCAGGCUCUCCUAGCUCCACCUUCUAUGCACCUAGCUUAUAAACUAUCCCACAAAUCUUUGUCAUAUUUUUUCACCUCUGUCACUUCGUAAUCCAAAGUGAUCUCAUCUACAACCUGGUUCUGGUAUGUUGCUAGAGGGUGAAUUCAUCAACUUCUUAAUCUACAUUAAUUCCUCGUCUCUCCAAGAUGAGCUUUGAGUAGUUCACCCUAAGUACUAUGGGCUCAUUGUAGUAGCCAAGAUGUAAUCUCUCCUCGAAUUCUCAGUAAAGUGAGCAAGAGAGUUUCCUAUCAUGAUUGUAUUCCCUCUCAUGUAUUCUUAGCGAUGAUGCUUGCAUAGACUGUUUGAUGCCAUAGUAAAAAAUAUUAAAAGAGGUUGGAGUAUGACACGUCUCCGACGUAUCUAUAAUUUAUGAAGUAUUCAUGCCAUGUUUAUAACAAUUUUAUAUAGUUUUGGUAUGAUUUGAUUAGAACUAACCCGGACUGACGCCCUUUUUAGUAGAACUACUCUGGUGUCGUUUUUUGUGCAGAAAUAAAAGUUCUCGGAAUGGGCUGAAAAUUUACAGAGAAUAUUUUUGGAAAAUAUAAAAAGUACUGGACUGAAAAGAUACCAGAGAGGAGUCCCGGGGUAACCACAAGGGUGGGGGGCGCCCCCAACCCCCUAGGGCUCGCCCCCCUACCUUGUCAUCACCUCGUGGACCCCCUUGACUUGUCCCCGACGCCAACACCUCCUAUAAAUCCCAAAAACCUCAGAUAUAAACCUAGAUUGGGAGUUCCGCUGCCGCAGGGCUCUGUAGCCUCGAAAAAUCAAUCUAGGCCAUCACUGGAGGUCAUGGAGGACGAUCCCGAAGGGGGCCAUCAUAACCAUGGAGGCCAAGAACUAGAGGGAGGACCUCUCCCCAUCUAGGGGGGAGGCCAUGGAGGAGGAAGCACAAGCGGGAGACUCUAUCCCCUCCUCUCUAGGUGGCGCCGGAGUGCCGCCGGGGGAACCAUCGCCACGGUGAUCGUCUUCAUCAACAUCACCAUCCCCAUCUCUCUUACGCGGUCCACUCUCCCGCACCGCUGUAAUCCCCUGUUGGAAAUAUGCCCUAGAGGCAAUAAUAAAAUGGUUAUUAUUGUAUUUCCUUGUUCAUGAUAAUUGUCUGUUGUUCAUGCUAUAAUUGUAUUAACUGGAAACCGUAAUACAUGUGUGAAUACAUAGACCACAACAUGUCCCUAGUGAGCCUCUAGUUGACUAGCUCGUUGAUCAACAGAUAGUCAUGGUUUCCUGACUAUGGACAUUGGAUGUCAUUGAUAACGAGAUCACAUCAUUAGGAGAAUGAUGUGAUGGACAAGACCCAAUCCUAAGCAUAGCACAAGAUCGUGUAGUUCGUUUGCUAGAGAUUUUCCAAAUGUCAAGUAUCAUUUCCUUAGACCAUGAGAUUGUGCAACUCCCGGAUACCAUAGGAGUGCUUUGGGUGUGCCAAACGUCACAACGUAACUGGGUGGCUAUAAAGGUGCACUACGGGUAUCUCCGAAAGUGUCUGUUGGGUUGGCAUGAAUCGAGACUGGGAUUUGUCACUCCGUAUGACGGAGAGGUAUCUCUGGGCCCACUCGGUUAUGCAUCAUCAUAAUGAGCUCAAUGUGACCAAGUGUUUGGUCACGGGAUCAUGCAUUACGGUACGAGUAAAGUGACUUGCCGGUAACGAGAUUGAACAAGGUAUUGGGAUACCUACGAUCGAAUCUCGGGCAAGUAACGUACCGACUGACAAAGGGAAUUGUAUACGGGAUUGAUUGAAUCCUCGACAUCGUGGAACAUGUGGGAGCCAACAUGGGUAUCCAGAUCCCGCUGUUGGUUAUUGACCGGAGAGUCGUCUCGGUCAUGUCUGCAUGUCUCCUGAACUCGUAGGGUCUACACACUUAAGGUUCGGUGACGCUAGAGUUGUAGAGAUAUUAGUAUGCGGUUAACCGAAAGUUGUUCGGAGUCCCGGAUGAGAUCCCGGACGUCACGAGGAGUUCCGGAAUGGUCCGGAGGUAAAGAUUUAUAUAUGGGAAGUCCUAUUUUGGCCACCGGAAAAUGUUCGGGAUUUUUCGGUAUUGUACCGGGAAGGUUCUAGAAGGUUCCGAAGUGGGGCCCACCUGCAUGGGGGGACCCACAUGAACGUGGGUAGUGGGGGCAAGGCCCCACACCCCUGGUCAAGGCGCACCAAGAUCCCACCUUAGAAGGAAUAAGAUCAUAUCCCGAAGGGAUAAGAUCAAGAUCCCUAAAAAAGGGGGAUAACAAUCGGUGGGGAAGGGAAAUGAUGGGAUUUCUUUCCCCCACCUUUGCCAACGCCCCAAUGGACUUGGAGGGAAAGAAACCAGCCCCCUCCACCCCUAUAUAUAGUGGGGAGGCGCAUGGGAGCAGCACCCCAAGCCCCGGCGCCUCCCUCUCUCCCGUGACACCUCUUCCUCCCCGCUUGCGCUUGGCGAAGCCCUGCCAGGAACCCGCUACUUCCACCACCACGUCGUCGUGCUGCUGGACCUCCAUCAACUUCUCCUCCCCCCUUGCUGGAUCAAGAAGGAGGAGAUGUCCCCGCUCCGUACGUGUGUUGAACGCGGAGGUGCCGUCCGUUCGGCGCUAGGAUCAUCGGUGAUUUGGAUCACGACGAGUACGACUCCAUCAACCUCGUUCUCUUGAACGCUUCCGCUUAGCGAUCUUCAAGGGUACGAAGAUGCACUCCCUCUCUCUAGUUGCUAGCAUCUCCUAGAUUGAUCUUGGUGACACGUAGGAAAAUUUUGAAUUAUUGCUACGUUCCCCAACAGUGGCAUCAUGAGGCAGGUUUAUGCGUAGAUUCUAUGCACGAGUAGAACACAAAGUAGUUGUGGGCGACGAUUUGUUCAAUUUGCUUACCGUUACUAGUCUUAUCUUGAUUCAGCGGCAUUGUGGGAUGAAGCGGCCCGGACCGACCUUACACGUACUCUUACGUGAGACAGGUUCCACCGACUGACAUGCACUUGAUGCAUAAGGUGGCUAGCGGGUGUCUGUCUCUCCCACUUUAGUCGGAUCGGAUUCGAUGAAAAGGGUCCUUAUGAAGGGUAAAUAGCAAUUGGCAUAUCACCGUUGUGGCUUUUGCGUAGGUAAGAAACGUUCUUGCUAGAAACCCAUAGCAGCCACGUAAAACAUGCAACAACAAUUAGAGGACGUCUAACUUGUUUUUGCAGGGUAUGCUAUGUGAUGUGAUAUGGCCAAAAGGAUGUGAUGAAUGAUAUAUGUGAUGUAUGAGAUUGAUCAUGUUCUUGUAAUAGGAAUCACGACUUGCAUGUCGAUGAGUAUGACAACCGGCAGGAGCCAUAGGAGUUGUCUCAAUUUAUUGUGUGACCUACGUGUCAAUGAAAACGCCAUGUAAUUACUUUACUUCAUUGCUAACCGUUAGCCAUAGUAGUAGAAGUAAUAGUUGGCGAGACAACUUCAUGAAGACACGAUGAUGGAGAUCAUGAUGAUGGAGAUCAUGGUGUCAUGCCGAUGACGAAGGUGAUCAUGCCGUGCCUCGAAGAUGGAGAUCAAAAGGCGCAAGAUGAUAUUGGCCAUAUCAUGUCACUUUAUGAUUUGCAUGUGAUGUCUGUCAUGUUUACAUCUUAUUUGCUUAGAACGACGGUAGCAUAAAUAAGAUGAUCCCUCACUAAAAUUUCAAGAAAUGUGUUCCCCCUAACUGUGCACCGUUGCGAAGGUUCGUUGUUUCGAAGCACCACGUGAUGAUCGGGUGUGAUAGAUUCUAACGUUCGCAUACAACGGGUGUUGACGAGCCUAGCAUGUACAGACAUGGCCUCGGAACACAUGCGAAACACUUAGGUUGACUUGACGAGCCUAGCAUGUACAGACAUGGCCUCGGUACACAAGAGACCGAAAGGUCGAACAUGAGUCGUAUAGAAGAUACGAUCAACAUGGAGAUGUUCCCCGAUGAUGACUAGUCCGUCUCACGUGAUGAUCGGACACGGCCUAGUUGACUCGGAUCAUGUAUCACUUAGAUGACUAGAGGGAUGUCUAUCUAAGUGGGAGUUCAUUAAAUGAUCAGAUGAACUUAAUUAUCAUGAACAUAGUCAAAAGGUCUUUGCAAAUUAUGUCGUAGCUUACGCUUUGGUUCUACUGUUUAAGAUAUGUUCCUAGAGAAAAUUUAGUUGAAAGUUGAUAGUAGAAAUUAUGCGGACUGGGUCCGUAAACUGAGGAUUAUCCUCAUUGCUGCGCAGAAGGCUUAUGUCCUUAAUGCACCGCUCGGUGUGCUGAACCUUGAGCGUCAUUUGUGGAUGUUGCGAACAUCUGACAUACACGUUUUGAUGACUACGUGAUAGUUCAGUGCGUAAGGUUGAACGGUUUAGAAUUGAGGCACCGAAGACAUUUUGAAACGUCGCGGAACAUAUGAGAUGUUCCAAGAGCUGAAAUUGGGAUUUUAGGCUCGUGCCCACGUCAAGAGGUAUGAGACCUCUGACAACUUUCUUAAACCUGCAAACUAAGGGAGAAAAGCUCAACCGUUGAGCAUGUGCUCAGAUUGUCUAAGUACUAAAAUCGCUUGAAUCGAGUGGGAGUUAAUCUUCCAGAUGAGAUAGUGAUGGUUCUCCAUAGUCACUGCCACCAAGCUAUUAGAGCUUCGUGAUGAACUAUAACAUAUCAGGGAUAGACAUGAUGAUCCUUGAGCAACUCGCGAUGUUUGACACCGCGAAAGUAGAAAUCAAUUAGGAGCAUCAAUUGUUGAUGGUUAGUAAAACCACUAGUUUCAAGAAGGGCACGAGCAACAAGGGAUACUUCAUGAAACGGCAAAUCAGUUGCAGCUCUAGUGAAGAAAGCCAAGGUUGAACCCAAACCCGAGACUAAGUGCUUCUGUAAUGAGGGGAACGGUCACCGAAGCAGAACUACCCUAGAUACUUGGUAGAUGAGAAGGCAGGCAAGGUCGACAGAAGUAUAUUGGAUAUACAUUAUAUUAAUGUGUACUUUACUAGUACUCCUAGUAGCACCAGGGUAUUAGAUACCGGUUCGGUUGCGAAGUGUUGGUAACUCGAAAUAAAAGGCUACGGAAUAAACGGAGACUAGCUAAAGGUGAGAUGACGAUAUGUGUUGGAAGUGUUUCCAAGGUUGAUGUGAUCAAGCAUCGCAUGCUCCCUCUACCAUCGAGAUUGGUGUUAAACCUAAAUAAUUGUUAUUUGGUGUUUGCGUUGAGCAUAGACAUGAUUGGAUUAUGUUUAUCGCAAUACGGUUAUUCAUUUAAGGAGAAUAAUGGUUACUCUGUCUAUUUGAAUAAUACCUUCAAUGGUCUUGCACCUAAAAUGAAUGGUUUAUUGAAUCUCGAUCGUAGUGAUACACAUGUUCAUGCCAAAAGAUAUAAGAUAAUAAUGAUAGUACCACAUACUUGUGGCACUGCCACUUGAGUCAUAUUGGUAUAAAACGCAUGAAGAAGCUCCAUGUUGACGGAUCUUUGGACUCACUCGUUUUUGAAAAGAUCGAGACAUGCGAACCAUGUCUAUUAGUAUAUAUGCAUGAAGAAAGUCCAUACAGAUGGAUCGUUUGGACUCACUUGAUUUUGAAUCACUUGAGACAUGCAAAUCAUACCACAUGGGCAAGAUGACUGAAAGGCCUCAUUUUCAGUAAGAUGGAACAAGAAGGCAACUUGUUGGAAGUAAUACAUUUUGAUGUGUGCAGUCCAAUGAGUGCUGAGGCAUGUAGUGGAUAUCAUUCUGUUCUUGCUUCACAGAUGAUUUGAGUAGAUGCUGAGUAUAUUUACUUGAUGAAACACAAGUCUGAAUUAUUGAAAGGUUCAAGUAAUUUCAGAGUGAAGUUGUAGAUCGUCGUGACAAGAGGAUAAAAUGUCUGUGAUAUGAUCAUAGAGAUGAAUAUCUGAGUUGCGAGUUUGGCACACAAUUAAGAAAUUGUGGAAAUUGUUUCACAACUAAUACCGCCUGGAACACCAUAGUGUGAUGGUGUGUCCGAACAUCAUAACUGCACCCUAUUGGAUAUGGUGCAUACCAUGAUGUCUCUUAUCGAAUUACACUAUCGUUCAUGGGUUAGCCAUUAGAGACAACCGCAUUCACUUUAAAUAGGGCACCACGCAAUUCCGUUGAGAAGACACCGUAUGAACUAUGGUUUAGAGAAACCUAAGCUGUCGUUUCUUAAAAGUUUGGGGCUGUGACACUUAUGUGGAAAAUUUUCAGGCUAAUAAGCUCGAACCCAAAGCGGAUAAAUGCAUCUUCUUAGAAUACCCAAAACAGUUGGGUAUACCUCCUAUUUCAGAUCUGGAAGCAAAAGUGAUUGUUUCUAGAAACGGGUCCUUUCUCGAGGAAAAGUUUCUCUCGAAAGAAUUGAGUGGGAGGAUGGUGGAGACUUGAUGAGGUCAUUGAACCGUCACUUCAACUAAUGUGUAGCAAGGCACAGGAAGUUGUUCCUGUGGCACCUACACCAAUUGAAGUGGAAGGUUAUGAUAGUGAUCAUGAAACUUCAGAUCAAGUCACUACCAAACCUCAUAGGAUGACAAGGAUGCGUACUACUUCAGAGUGGUACGUAAUCCUGUCUUGGAAGUCAUGUUGUUGGACAACGAUGAACCUAUGAGCUGUGGAGAAGCGAUGGCGGGCCCGGAUUCCAACGAAUGGCUCGAGGCCAUAAAAUCCGAGAGAGGAUCCAUGUAUAAAAACAAAGUGUAGACUUUGGAAGAACUACUUGAUGGUCGUAAGGCUGUUGGGUGCAGAUGGAUUUUAAAAGGAAGACAGACAAUGAUGGUAAGUGUCACCAUUAAGAAAGCUCGACUUGUCGUUAAGAUGUUUUCCGGCAAGUUCAAGGAGUUGACUGCGAUGAGACUUUCUCACUCGUAGCGAUGCUAAGAGUCUGUUGGAAUUAUAUUUAGCAGUUACUACAUUAUUUAUGAAAUCUUGCAGAUAGGAUGUCAAAACAUUGUUUCCUCGACGAUUUUCUUGAGGAAAGGUUGUAUGUGAUACAACCAGAAGGUUUUGUCAAUCCUGAAAGAUGCUAACAAGUAUGCAAAGCUCCAGCAAUCCUUCUAAGGAUUGGAGUAAGCAUCUCGGAGUUGGAAUGUACGCUUUGAUGAGAUGAUCAAAGAUUUUGGGUUUUUACAAAGUUUAUGAGAAACUUGUAUUUCCAAAGAAGUGAGUGGGAGCACUAUAGAAUUUCUGAUGAGUAUAUGUUGUUGACAUAUUGUUGAUCGGAAAUGAUGUAGAAUUUCUGGAAAGCAUCCAGGGUUAUUUGAAAAUUGUUUUUCAAUGGAAAACCUGGAUUAAGCUACUUGAACAUUGAGCAUCAAGAUCUAUAAGGAUAGAUCAAAACGCUUAAUAGUACUUUCAAAUGAAUGCAUACCGUGACAAGAUUUUGAAGGAGUUCAAAAUAGAUCAGCAAAGAAGGAGUUCUUGGCUGUGUUACAAGGUGUGAGUAUUGAGUGAGACUCAAGACCUGACCACGGCAGAAGAGAGAGCAAGGACGAAGGUCGUCCCCUAUGCUUUAGACAUAGGCUCUACAGUACGCUAUGCUAUGUACCGCACAUGGAGUGUGCCUUGCCAUGAAUUAGUCAAGGGGUACAAGAGUGAUCCAGGAAUGGAUCACAUGACAGCGGUCGAACUUAUCCUUAGUGUCUAGUGGACUAAGGAAUUUUCUCGAUUAUGGAGGUGGUAAAAGAGCUCGUCGUAAAGGGUUACGUUGAUGCAAACUUUGACACUAAUCCGGAUGACUCUGAGUAGUAAACCGGAUUUGUAUAGUAGAGCAGUUAUUUGGAAUAGCUCCAAGUAGCGCGUGCUAGCUACAUCUACAAGAUGACAUAGAGAUUUGUAAAGCACACACGGAUCUGAAUGUUGCAGACCCGUUGACUAAAACCUCUCUCGUAAGCAUAACAUGAUCAAACCCUAGAACUCAUUGAGUGUUAAUCACAUGGUGAUGUGGACUAGAUUAUUGACUCUAGUAAACUCUUGGGUAUUAGUCACAUGGCGAUGUGAACUUUGAGUGUUAAUCACAUGGUGAUGUGAACUAGAUUAUUGACUCUAGUGCAAGUGGGAGACUGUUGGAAAUAUGCCCUAGAGGCAAUAAUAAAAUGGUUAUUAUUGUAUUUCCUUGUUCAUGAUAAUUGUCUCUUGUUCAUGCUAUAAUUGUAUUAACUGGAAACCGUAAUACAUGUGUGAAUACAUAGACCACAACAUGUCCCUAGUGAGCCUCUAGUUGACUAGCUCGUUGAUCAACAGAUAGUCAUGGUUUCCUGACUAUGGACAUUGGAUGUCAUUGAUAACGGGAUCACAUCAUUAGGAGAAUGAUGUGAUGGACAAGACCCAAUCCUAAGCAUAGCACAAGAUCGUGUAGUUCGUUUGCUAGAGCUUUUCCAAAUGUCAAGUAUCAUUUCCUUAGACCAUGAGAUUGUGCAACUCCCAGAUACCAUAGGAGUGCUUUGGGUGUGCCAAACGUCACAACGUAACUGGGUGGCUAUAAAGGUGCACUACGGGUAUCUCCGAAAGUGUCUGUUGGUUUGGCACGAAUCGAGACUGGGAUUUGUCACUCCGUAUGACGGAGAGGUAUCUCUGGGCCCACUCGGUAAUGCAUCAUCAUAAUGAGCUCAAUGUGACCAAGUGUUUGGUCACGGGAUCAUGCAUUACGGUACGAGUAAAGUGACUUGCCGGUAACGAGAUUGAACAAGGUAUUGGGAUACCAACGAUCGAAUCUCGGGCAAGUAACGUACCGAUUGACAAAGGGAAUUGUAUACGGGAUUAAUUGAAUCCUCGACAUUGUGGUUCAUCCGAUGAGAUCAUCGUGGAACAUGUGGGAGCCAACAUGGGUAUCCAGAUCCCGUUGUUGGUUAUUGACCGGAGAGUCGUCUCGGUCAUGUCUGCAUGUCUCCCGAACCCGUAGGGUCUACACACUUAAGGUUCGGUGACGCUAGAGUUGUAGAGAUAUUAGUAUGCGGUUAACCGAAAGUUGUUCGGAGUCCCGGAUGAGAUCCCGGACGUCAUGAGGAGUUCCGGAAUGGUCCGGAGGUAAAGAUUCAUAUAUGGGAAGUCCUAUUUUGGCCACCGGAAAAUGUUCGGGAUUUUUCGGUAUUGUACCGGGAAGGUUCUUGAAGGUUCCGAAGUGGGGCCCACCUGCAUGGGGGGACCCACAUGAACGUGGGUAGUGGGGGCAAGGCCCCACACCCCUGGUCAAGGCGCACCAAGAUCCCACCUUAGAAGGAAUAAGAUCAUAUCCCGAAGGGAUAAGAUCAAGAUCCCUAAAAAAGGGGGAUAACAAUUGGUGGGGAAGGGAAAUGAUGGGAUUUCUUUCCCCCACCUUUGCCAACGCCCCAAUGGACUUGGAGGGAAAGAAACCAGCCCCCUCCACCCCUAUAUAUAGUGGGGAGGCGCAUGGGACCAGCACCCCAAGCCCUGGCGCCUCCCUCUCUCCCGUGACACCUCUUCCUCCUCGCUUGCGCUUGGCGAAGCCCUGCCGGGAUCCCGCUACUUCCACCACCACGCCGUCGUGCUGCUGGAUCUCCAUCAACUUCUCCUCCCCCCUUGCUGGAUCAAGAAGGAGGAGACGUCCCCGCUCCGUACGUGUGUUGAACGCGGAGGUGCCGUCCGUUCGGCGCUAGGAUCAUCGGUGAUUUGGAUCACGACGAGUACGACUCCAUCAACCUCGUUCUCUUGAACGCUUCCGCUUAGCGAUCUUCAAGGGUAUGAAGAUGCACUCCCUCUCUCUCGUUGCUAGCAUCUCCUAGAUUGAUCUUGGUGACACGUAGGAAAAUUUUGAAUUAUUGCUACGUUCCCCAACAUCCCCUACUUGAACAUGGUGCUUUAUGCCACAUAUUAUGAUCCAAUGAUGUGUUGCCAUUCUAUGAUAUUUUGAGUAGAUUUCUUUUGUCUUUUGGGUUGAUUGAUGAUCUAGAUUGGUUUGAGUUGUAUGUUUUAUUUUGGUGUUGUCCUAUGAUGCCUUCCGUGUCGUGCACAAUUGAAGGAUUCCCGCUGUAGGGAGUUGUAAUACGUUCAUGAUUCGCUUAUAGUGGGUUGCUAGAGUGACAGAAGCUUAAACCCGAGUAAGGGGGUUGUUGCGUAUGGGAUAAAGGGGACUUGAUGCUUUAAUGCUAUGGUUGGGUUUUACCUCAAUGAUAUUUAGCAGUUGCGGAUGCUUGCUAGAGAUCUAAUCAUAAGUGCAUAUGAUCCAAGAAGAGAAAGUAUGUUAGCUUAUGCCUCUCCCUCAUAUAAAAUUGCAAUGACGACUACCGAUCUUCUUAACAAUUGCCUAGGACAAUUCCGCACACCGAUCCAUCAUUAUUCCACACUCGAUAUUUAUAAUAUAUAAUAAUAUAUUCUAACUUUAUGUUAACACCACUUACUCUAUAUUUUAGUUCUCCGAUAUCAUGCAAAGCUAUCCUCUUCAUACCCACAACGUAGUUUUAUUUCUCGUUUCUAGAUGGAAGCAAACGUUCGGUGUACGUGGAGUCAUAUUAGUGGCAGAUAGGACUUGAGAGAAUAUUGAUCUUACCUUUAGCUCCUUGUGGGUUCGACACUCCAUACUUAUCACUUCCACCUUUGGAAAUUGCUAUGAUGAUUCCUUGCACUUGGGGAUUAUCAGAGUAGAUGCUACAUUUCCAGUGAAAUGUAGCACACAUGAUUCCAUAGGAAAAAGUCCUAUAGGAUUAAAUCGUAUGAAUUAAACAACCAAGGUAGGGGACAUUCCUAAGGAGACUAGCGGAGAAAUGGCUAGCGACAAGUUUGGUUGGUGGCUCACCAUUUCCAAUCAACGCCCGCACUUUUUUCCAAGUAGUGGUGGUGUUGGCACAUUCGGUACGUCACCUUUAUAAGGUUAGUGUAGGUGUUGCUUUUUGAAAAAUGCCACCAAUUUGUGGGCCUAGCUAUAAUGACCAGAUGGAAGAUAGUGGUGGCGUUAGAGUUCUAUGUACGCCAUAGGUAAACAUUCUAGUGCUGGCAUGCCUUGUAUUGGAACGUCAUCACUAAGUUUUGCCUAUAUAUAGGAGUUUUGGCGGCCUUUCGUUUCUCAAACAAAUUCACUUUCAUUCUCCACAAAAUCUUCUCCCUAACUAGCUAGCUCCUCUUUUUUUGUUCCCUCUUAGCAAGCUAGCUACGUGCACUGGGUGGUAAUGGACCCACUGACGUCGGCGGAGCAUGUUGAAGCAGGUUGGGACUCCGUCGCCUUGGCCGAGCUCCCCUCGGGCCCUAUUGGCUAUGCCAUGAGCUCUCCAAGGCCAAUGCAGUCGGCCCUGUCUGGAGAAACAUCCUGCUGCAGCAACAUGACAUAAUUUUUUAUUGUUCGAUCCGGCAGCUACACCACUGAUACGUCUCCAACGUAUCUAUAAUUUUUUAUUGUUCCAUGCUAUUAUAGUAUCAAUCUUUGAUGUUUUAUAUGCAAUUUUAUAACAUUUUUUGGGACUAACCUAUUAACCUAGUGCCCAGUGUUAGUUAAUUUUUUUUGCUUGUUUUUGGGUUUUCAGAAAAUCAAUAUCAAACGAGUCCAAACGAAAAAAAAA
rnacentral:lncRNA from 1 species